UACAGAGGGUGCAAGCGUUGUUCGGAAUUAUUGGGCGUAAAGCGCGUGUAGGCGGCUUGGCAAGUCGGGUGUGAAAUCCCUCGGCUCAACUGAGGAUCGUCGAUCGAUACUGCCGUUCUUGAGGAUUGCAGAGGAGACUGGAAUUCCCGGUGUAGCGGUGAAAUGUGUAGAGAUCGGGAGGAACACCGGUGGCGAAGGCGGGUCUCUGGGCAAUUCCUGACGCUGAGGCGCGAAAGCGUGGGGAGCAAACGGG
rnacentral:rRNA from 1 species